rnacentral:misc_RNA from 1 species
CACAAUAAAAUAUGAAGGCUGUACGCGGCUGUGCUCUCGGGCCAGUUUUGCGGAGGCUGAAUUAUUUAUUACCCUUGUCUUUUGCGCACUUGUUGUUUCCUGGGCGGGUUCGCCCGCCACCAGGACCACAUCAUAAACCUUUUUUAUGCGGUUGCAAUCAGCGUCAGUAUAACAAAUGUAAAUCAUUUA